CUGACCCCGUACCUUUACCCCACCCACAAGCAUAUCACUUUAUGGGGUACGUAUGCAUACAGAGCUAAAUGCACUUAUUGCAAAGCUGAAAGAGAGGAUAUCAAAAACAAAAUGCAACAGUGAGUUGAGGUAAGAUGAUAAUUUAGUCAUCAACUCAGAAAAAUGUAGGUUUAAAGCAGAACUCUAAUUCUUCACCGAGUUCAAUUCCUCACCUGAGUAAACACUGCUAAAACAUGUACUGGGGUGACUAAUGCAGAAGAGAAAAGUAAAAACACCUUCUUAAUUUAAGUUACAUUGCAUGCCUGGUCAAUAACUUAGAAUUAAAUCUAGGGAGACUUUUACAAAUAAAUAGCAUACCAUAUCUUUUAGUAAGCUGUACCAUUUCUUCCAAAUUAUAUUUCUAUGUAAAUUCAGGUGAUUUAAAGAUUUUUAUUUUUUAGCUCAACAAUUUUGGUUCUCAACUGUUCAACUGUUUAUUUAUGGAACCCUAGGUUGAUGAAAAGG